GCCUUGGCAAUUACUGUCCUAAUUUUCCUGACUAUGAAUUUCAACUACUUUGAUACCUCAUGUUGUCAAGAACUUCGGGGCCUUGUGUGCAUAUGGCUCUCUCUGGACCAAGGCUUCUUCACGGGCUGAAGAUGCUGACUCCUGUCUGCUCAGCUAUGGAGUUUGCUGCGGGAAGGAAGAGGAACGCAGGAUGUCCCUCAUGGAGUGCUUCAACCCAGCAUUCUCUGCAACUCUGGAUUCUUAAAGCCUGGUUGAGCUGCUCUGGGGAGACUCUCAGCUGCCGGGCAAGUGAAGCAUGUGUCUUCAAUCCUCCCUCUCGCCUAGCCAGCUUUGCUGAGCUGGAAAAGCUGCUCUCAAGGAAUCCUAGGCUUCUGUUGUCCCUUGCUGCCUGU